rnacentral:tRNA from 1 species
GAGGGUAUAGCUCAGUGGUAGAGCGCAUGCUUAGCAUCCGUGAGAUCCUGGGUUCAGUUCAAUCCCCAGUACCUCCA